UACGUAGGGGGCUAGCGUUGUCCGGAUUUAUUGGGCGUAAAGAGCGUGUAGGCGGCCAGAUAGGUCUGCUGUGAAAACUCGAGGCUCAACCUCGAGAUGUCGGCGGAAACCAUUUGGCUAGAGUCCGGAAGAGGAAAGUGGAAUUCCUGGUGUAGCGGUGAAAUGCGCAGAUAUCAGGAGGAACACCAGCGGCGAAGGCGGCGCUCUGGGCCGGAACUGACGCUGAGGAGCGAAAGCGUGGGGAGCGAACAGG
rnacentral:rRNA from 1 species